CUACGGGGUGCUGCAGUGAGGAAUUUUGCGCAAUGGGGGAAACCCUGACGCAGCAACGCCGCGUGAGUGAUGAAGGCCUUCGGGUCGUAAAACUCUGUCAAGUGGGAAGAACCUAUGUAAGGUUAAUACCCUUAUGUACUGACGGUACCACUGAAGGAAGCACCGGCUAGCUCCGUGCCAGCAGCCGCGGUAAUACGGAGGGUGCAAGCGUUAUUCGGAAUUAUUGGGCGUAAAGGGCGCGCAGGCGGUUGUGUAAGUCAGAUGUGAAAGCCCGGGGCUUAACCUCGGAAGUGCAUUUGAUACUGCAAGACUUGAGUAUGGGAGGGGGAAGUGGAAUUCCUGGUGUAGAGGUGAAAUUCGUAGAUAUCAGGAGGAACACCAGUGGCGAAGGCGACUUCCUGGACCAAUACUGACGCUGAGGCGCGAAGGCGUGGGGAGCAAACAGGAUUAGAUACCCCUGUAGUC
rnacentral:rRNA from 1 species